CUACGACCAUAUCACGUUGAAAACACCGGUUCUCGUCCGAUCACCGACUUAAGCAACGUCGAGCCCGUUAGUACUUGGAUGGGUGACCGCCUGGGAAUACCGGGUCUUGUA
rnacentral:rRNA from 1 species